rnacentral:tRNA from 1 species
GCUCCCGUAGUUCAAUGGACAGAGCGUCGGUUUCCGGAACCGAAGAUCUGGGUUCGACUCCCAGCGGGAGUACCA